AGAUGCGAUCAUACCAGCACUAAAGCAUCGGAUCCCAUCAGAACUCCGAAGUUAAGCGUGCUUGGGCGAGAGUAGUACUAGGAUGGGUGACCUCCUUGGAAGUCCUCGUGUUGCAUUCC
rnacentral:rRNA from 16 species